rnacentral:misc_RNA from 1 species
GCCUGCUCAGCUACACACCUCCAGGACGCUCAGAACUGCUGCUCAUCCCGACAAGAUACGCUCUAGCACCACUCACUCCCAAUCGCACACCGGCGCCCGUCCUCCUCGUCUCGCCUGAUUCACUCACCGCAAUCCAGCUCAUCCACCCGCCUACCCAGCCAGCACCGCCGUUCAAGGCUCAGCAGGGCUCGCACUACCAGGAGGACCAGUAUGCGGACCUGCCUUAUGCGGGCUUCCCUGAGCACACGCCAGAGACGAAGGUGCUCUGCUGCGGUCUAGGCGGUUCCCUCCUCGACUUGCGCCAACGUUCCCCUCCUCAACUUACGCAGCUCGCUCUCCUUCCGUAUAUCGCAUUCCACCUGAUGCCGAUACUGCUUUUCUGCACGCGGCAUUCAUCAUCUCCGCCUCUAUGCGCUCAAUCGCUGCUGUCCAGCCGCUCGGACGCGUUCCUUCUUUGCGCGCCAACCUCGAGACUUCUUAGCCUUCGUCUUGCGACUAGGCUGCGGCCCUCGCAUCGAGCUCAUCACGAUAUGGACAGACUCAUGCAUCUCGCCAACCUAUACCGACCUGCGGCUUCUGACACCGUUCACUCACUCUCACCUUCCCCUCCACCUUCGCAACUCUCGCUUCCUCAAAACCCUCCUUGAACAGCCGCAAGUCGCACGGCUACGAAUGCUGUCGAGUCUUCGGAGGAGCGGAGACCAAGAGCGGCGGCUUUCGGAGGACUCCGCGCCUCGACAACUUCGACAGGCGCUCAAGCGAGCGGGAGGAGGAGGUGCGAGGAAAGAUCGCUCUUGCCUCUUCCUUCGAUAGUAACGAGAGCCAUAGGAUCACAACGGACGCGUCGCAGCUUUACGCACUCGUCGACAGGAGGUCGGCGCCACGCUAGCCUCGCUCGAGACGACGAUCCGCCUCUCCCUCUCCCGCCCGCCUCCCGUCCCUUCCCUUUCUUCUUCUCCUGUCUCCUUGUUACUCUCCUCCCCAUCGUUUUGGUCUGCUAGACGCGCAUUCGGGCGCACCCCUUCGUCGUUUUCCCCUUUCCCCCCUCGACUUCCGUUCCCUCGCCUCUCGCUUCUCCUUCCUCCCGCGUUCUCUGCAGCUUCCCCUAACUCUCGCCUCUCACUCAAGCGGUACACUGGAUGGAAAAGAUGCGAAUUGCCUCAGC